UACGUAGGGCGCAAGCGUUGUUCGGAUUUACUGGGCGUAAAGGGCGCGUAGGCGGCAAUUCAAGUCAUCUGUGAAAUCUCCGGGCUUAACUCGGAACGGUCAGAUGAUACUGCUUUGCUCGAGUGCGGAAGGGGCAAUCGGAAUUCUUGGUGUAGCGGUGAAAUGCGUAGAUAUCAAGAGGAACACCUGAGGUGAAGACGGGUUGCUGGGCCGACACUGACGCUGAAGCGCGAAAGCCAGGGGAGCAAACGGG
rnacentral:rRNA from 1 species